CAGCCUCAGUCUUAGACCAAACUGGAAAUGCUACUGCAAUAGGAGGCAGCUCAGAAUGAAGAACCCACUUGCUGGCUGCAUGAUGUUCUGUCUCCAACUUGCUCACUCCUCCUUAAGAUAACAAUGAGCAUCUCAGUUGCUUUUGUGCAGACUUAACCUGCGGAGGGAUGUUACUCUUCACCUCUGGCAUCUUGAUUUUCUGAUGAGGUCCAUUCUGGAGAUGACCUGGAAAAAUGAAGAUGUUGAUUAUGAAAGAUAAAAAGAAAGUGCAGGAGAAGAAACGCAGUGGGAAAGAGCGCAAGCAGCAUAGCAGCUUCCUGAAUGUUUUGUUUGUUGGUUUCAGUCUCGUCUUUGAAGCUGCAUGAUCAGGCAUACCAAGUGCUGAAAGGGUAUUCUAAAAAUGGAGAUAAUCACUGCAAGCAACUCUUAUCUAUCCUUCAACAGAG